rnacentral:rRNA from 1 species
UACAGAGGGGGCAAGCGUUGUUCGGAAUUACUGGGCGUAAAGGGCGCGUAGGCGGCCUUCUAAGUCGAACGUGAAAUCCCCGGGCUCAACCCGGGAACUGCGUCCGAUACUGGAAGGCUUGAAUCCGGGAGAGGGAUGCGGAAUUCCAGGUGUAGCGGUGAAAUGCGUAGAUAUCUGGAGGAAUACCGGUGGCGAAGGCGGCAUCCUGGACCAAUAUUGACGCUGAGGAGCGAAAGCCAGGGGAGCAAAGCGGG